GUGUAGCUGUGUCUAGAGCCAGUGUAGCUGAGUCUAGAGCCAGUGUAGCUGUGUCUAGAGCCAGUGUGGCUGUGUAACACUGAGGAUACUCACAUAGUCCCAUUCCCUUUAGGCAGGACGGAGGCCAGGAAGCCAGCAGGUGAUUGGGGCAUGGAAGUGAAGGGGGAAGAGCUGCUGGAGUGGCCGGGGAGAAGGGGGAGUCGAGGAGAUGGGUGGAGGAGGGGGUGGGGGAAAGUCUUGGCUGGGGCCUGAUGGAGAAGACAUGCUGCUGCUGAGGAAGGGAGGGGGUGGAGGAGGGAAGGAGGGAGAGGACGGGGACUGAGACCCGAUGCUGCUGCCCUUAGUGAAGGGAGGCAGGGUGACCCUGGUGAAGGGUUUGUGUGAGGUUGGUGGGGAGAGGGGUGAGGGCAGGCUGGAUCCAGAGGAGCCAGAGGACUGGGUGACGUAGCCCCCCACAGGGACUGUCCCCCCGGGGCUCUGGGCAGCAAUGAACUGCUUGGGCCGGGCGUAGUUGAAUGUGCUAGUCUGCAUGGCGCUGCUCUCCAGCUCCUGGAAGGAGGGAGGAGGGGGAAGAGGAGGAGAGGGCGGAGAGGACACUUCCUGGGGCUGCUGCAGCAGAAGUGGGACUUCCUGCUCUUGCUCCUGCUGCUGGAUCCAAUUGGCUGCUUCUUGCUGUUCCAAUAGAAUCUGAUCGUGCAGCUGCUUCAACUGUUCUAUGUUCCUAAAAGGAAAGUCAAUACAUAGGCAUCAUCAGUAACAUGACUGCUGGACAGUGGGGUCACUUUGAAUGAUCAUGCCAAACAGUCAUUUGUUUUGUUUUUUUAAACACUAUUGCAGAACAAAACUGGACAAAGUUUUUAAAAGUUUGUGAGCUAAAUGAAAGCAGGAACACACACCAGUAGAUCAGAAGCAUUCCGUACAGGCCUUCUUUUUUUCCCGGACCAAUGGAAUCCCUACAGUAAAGGCCUAGACUCCAUACUGUGUCCACGUAUUUUGUGUCAGGGUCAGUAUAAACGCCCAGAGGGCCUAACAGUAGUGGUUUUCCUUCCCCAGGUCACCAAUCAGAACAUAGCACACAUACCCCUGUAACACUCAACAUCCCCUCAACACCACUAGAACGCUGGAGGGGAUGAGAUAACGCUGCUAAGGUUACAGGCACGUUGUAAAAAUGUUACAAAAGCAUGCGGCUGUAAUCCAUUUUGACCUUGACUGACACAAUACCCUAUUACCCAUCUCUCACUCUCUAGUUACACAACCACGGUUGACAAAUUAAAGAGGUUGUGAUUGUAAAAACAGCAAUCACAGAGAAUGAGCCUCCCAGUCGUGCCGAGACAUUGCUCUAAUGUUACAGAUGCGUUGUGAGGAUGUUACUGUCCGUGGUUGAAAACCACACACAGAGCUAUCGGGAUGACUUCAGCACUGGGACAUCCAAGGGCCUCACUCAGGAAUUACACUGGAGCUUUUUACACCAGCCUGGAAUUGAUAGCCUGUCAGGCCUGAGUCGAGAGGGUUCAGUGUACCAUGAGGUGUGGUUAAUUCAGCUAGCCAACCUUGCCACGGUGUGUGUGUGUGUGUGUGUGUGUUGCUGAUUAGUGAUGUUCUGGGGAGGAAACCUCUGCAUAGUGAGUCUACCAGUCAUUACAUAAAGACUUAAAAGGCCAGCCUGUCGACAGCCACGUCAAAAAGUACAAUUUUAAAUUAAAUUAAACAUAUUCAUUUUGUUUGGCAUAUUUUAACAUCUCAACCAAUGCCUUUUAGCAUAGGAGUCCUGUAUUUUUUCAAAUAUGGUUCAAA
ensembl:lncRNA